AAGAUAAACACGGAAUCCUGGAUGGAUGUGUGCAUUCAUAAAGAUCAUGAGACCACCUCCCAGCAGCUUCCCAUUCCUAUUCUUGGAUGCUCCUAGCUGGACUUUGCAUAUUACAUGCUACAGUAUGGGGUAUCCCAGGUGAGCUACUAAAAGCACAUGCAUACCCCCAACUCUUGGUCUUUCAGCCUUUCCUCUCUGUAGGGUAAUUUAAGCCCUGACCCUUUGCUUCCACAACUUGAGGAGGUCACAACUGCAAAUGCUUCUGGGAAAAUCUGGUUUAACUUUUCCUUUUCUUGCAUUUGAAGCCCUCCCCAAUGAGGAUUCUGGGAUUUUAUUGUCAACUACCUUAGGGCCUUCUCUGGAAAUGAAUAAGAAGCACUGAGUCCAGACCCCUGAAUUAUCGAGAACAGUUAAGCCACGGUCCAAACCCAGGAUUUUAUAUAAACUCAAAGAAAAGCACAAGAUUCUGAGCCCAGGUCAUGAUCGAUCCUAAGAAUCCUCGUUCUUCUUCCAUGACCUCAUAUUCACAUCAGAAAGUUUCUGUUUCUGUUCAAGGAGACAAUGUAAUGGAGCAUUCUGGAAUUAAAGGCAGUUUUGUGGUGUGUCAGGAUUUUCUAUUUCUGUUUUUCUGAAUUUUGCCGUAAUAAAGUCCUCCCCAAAGAGACAUUAUUACAACCCAGCUAGGAGGCUUAGUGCUCAGCUAAAGGUGGAGAAAAAGGAGAUAUUAAGACUGAAAUGAAACUGUCUCUUUUCCUGAGAAGCAAAAGGGCUACCCCAAUUCAGGCCAUCUUACAGAAUUAGUUUAUGCCACAGUUGAAAUUUUUGUGUUUUUCUUUCUUGGCUGACUGCGGAUUUUUACUGGUGGGUUCUGGGAAACAAAACAGGCAAAUGAGUAGGGCACAGCCGUGAGACUCCCCUCCUGUGGCUGAGCGACUGAGUGAUGCUGUGCUGGAUUUGCCUUGGCUCCUUCCUCUGGAAUAAAGAGGCUGUCUGGUCCUUUAGUGCUGUUUUGCAAACCUUGGGUGAGUAGCUCCCCAGAAUAUCGCUCCCUAGUGAUUAGGUUCACUGCCUUAUAGUCAGGGGCUCCACAGUCGUGGUAGUUCUUCCCUGAGUGGUGUGUGUAGAGAAAUACUACUUGGACUUAUUUCUCAAAAGUGUGGCGUGGGAUGACAGAACUUGUCCAACAGCGGCGCCUUCAGUAAUCCAGAUAAUGAAUAGGGCUGAAAGAAAGCUGCUUGCAUGUACAUGAGCUCCUGAAAGGUGGGCUUUCCCAAAUACCUGCUAAAUAGGCACAUUAUGCCAAAAGGAAAGGGAUAGAAAUUGAUACCAUCAAGUGUCCAAACUGAUAGGAAGUUUGUUUUAUAUCGCAUAGAACUUGCUUCUCCCUCUGAAUUCCAGUAACUUUCCAGUACAUCUUGCUCCUCUGCCUCAGGCUGCUUUCUAGUUUUUGCCACCAUAGCUUUGUCACUCACAAAUGUUGCCUUUGAUACACAGGAGCGAACUGGUUGAGUGAUAAGUGAUGUACCUGGAAACUUCACGCUUAAUUCCAAAUAAUACUGAACAGCUCUUUACUGCCCCCCCAGAGACACACUGAUCCUGGUCCUCUGGCUCCCCCAGCUUCCUUCUAGAAAUAGUGACACUGAUGGCACUAUAUCAUUGAAUUAACCCUAACCCAGAAGAAUGCAGUACAAAACCCUGUUGAUGUUGAAAUAGCAUUCUUAGAGGCUGUAAAAAUAUUCUAAGAUAACUUUUUCUGUCCUGAGGUAGAGUGUUCUAGUAUUUUCUCCAACAAAACUUGUUCUUAGGACUUUUCAAACUUGUUUCUAAGCCACAUCGUUUGGAUGAAAUAUUUUCCCUCUCUCUUCUGGAAAUUCAAUCCCACAGUCUAUUAAGGCAACCCCAUGAAUAGUGUAAGACAUUUUCCAUCUCAUUUCUUCUCAUCUCCUUCACAGAAGACCACUUUCUGCUUUUCUCUUGUCUCUUGGCCAUCCUCUGUCAUCUGCUGAUUACUGUUAAUCACAGGAAGCUGGCAAAACUUACAGUAAAAGGCACAUACGUUCACUGAUGUCCAAACGCACUCCUAUCACUGUGGUUUUUGCUCCUUACUCUUCUCAGAUGCAUUAUUCUGACCCCCACCACUACCACCCAAAGACUAGAGCUACACCUGAGAGGAACCCAGAACUUGGGGCUAGUGUUUCAUUCAAAGAGCAGGGGCAUGCUCACAAGCUUUGAGCCUAAUGAGAAGCACAGCACUUUUAAAAGUCAAAUAGGCCUUCGGUAGCUUUGUACGUUUGCAGUUUUACAUUUGUUAUUAGUUUAUAGCACUAAUAACACUGUAGUCAUGAACCUAUAGUGUCAAUAUGAUAAAUCUUAGAAGAUAUUCUAGAGACAGUGGUACCCUGCCGCUAUUAUACUUCCUA
ensembl:lncRNA